rnacentral:rRNA from 1 species
GUGUCAGCCGCCGCGGUAAUACAGAGGUCUCGAGCGUUGUUCGGAUUCAUUGGGCGUAAAGGGUGCGUAGGUGGCGCAGUAAGUCGGGUGUGAAAUCCUGAGGCUUAACCUCGGAACUGCAUUCGAUACUGCUGUGCUUGAGGACUGGAGAGGAGACUGGAAUUCAUGGUGUAGCAGUGAAAUGCGUAGAGAUCAUGAGGAAGACCAGUGGCGAAGGCGGGUCUCUGGACAGUUCCUGACACUGAGGCACGAAGGCCAGGGGAGCAAACGGGAUUAGAUACCCCGGUAGUCCUGGCAGUAAACGGUGCACGUUUGGUGUGGGAGGAUUCGACCCCUUCCGCGCCGGAGCUAACGCGUUAAACGUGCCGCCUGGGGAGUACGGUCGCAAGAUUAAA